GAUGAACGCUAGCUACAGGCUUAACACAUGCAAGUCGAGGGGAAACGACAUUGGAAGCUUGCUUCCGAUGGGCGUCGACCGGCGCACGGGUGAGUAACGCGUAUCCAACCUGCCCACCACUUGGGGGAUAACCUUGCGAAAGUAAGACUAAUACCCAAUGACGUCCAUAGAAGACAUCUGAAGUGGAUUAAAGAUUUAUCGGUGAUGGAUGGGGAUGCGUCUGAUUAGCUUGUUGGCGGGGUAACGGCCCACCAAGGCAACGAUCAGUAGGGGUUCUGAGAGGAAGGUCCCCCCACAUUGGAACUGAGACACGGUCCAAACUCCUACGGGAGGCAGCAGUGAGGAAUAUUGGUCAAUGGGCGCGAGCCUGACCCAGCGACGCCGCGUGAGGGAAGAAGGGCCCUUCGGGUUGGUAAACCUUCUGUUGCAGGGGAAGAAGACAUGACGGUACCCUGCGAGGAAGCUCCGGCUAACUACGUG
rnacentral:rRNA from 1 species